GCCCGUGUAGUUCAGUCGGAAGAACAUCCCGUUGGUAAUGGGAAGGCCGCCGGUUCGAUUCCGGCCGCGGGCUCCA
rnacentral:tRNA from 1 species